UACAGAGGUCUCAAGCGUUGUUCGGAUUCAUUGGGCGUAAAGGGUGCGUAGGUGGCGUGGUAAGUCGGGUGUGAAAUUUCGGAGCUUAACUCCGAAACUGCAUUCGAUACUGCUGUGCUUGAGGACUGUAGAGGCAGGCGGAAUUCCGGGUGUAGCGGUGGAAUGCGUAGAGAUCCGGAGGAAGACCGGUGGCGAAGGCGGCCUGCUGGGCAGUUUCUGACACUGAGGCGCGACAGCGUGGGGAGCAAACAGG
rnacentral:rRNA from 1 species